rnacentral:rRNA from 1 species
GACUAUUAAUAAAUCACAAGUGAACGCGCCCGAUCUCGGAAGCUAAGCAGGGUCAGGCCUGGUUAGUACUUGGAUAGGAGACCACCUGGGAAUACCGGGUGCUGUAGGCU